CAAACACAUAAAACCAGGGACAACCCAAGGCAAACACAGGAACAGCAUUUCAGAAGACAGAGAAGCUCUGAGAGUGCAGUGGCUAACAGGAGUUGGAUUACCAUUUUCCUGCAAAGCAGACUAUGACUGUUUCCAUGGAUCCCCAAACCUAGGCCCCACUGAAGGAUUCCCCAGAGCAUAACACCC